GAUGAACGCUGGCGGCGUGCCUAAUACAUGCAAGUCGAGCGAACAGACGAGGAGCUUGCUCCUCUGACGUUAGCGGCGGACGGGUGAGUAACACGUGGAUAACCUACCUAUAAGACUGGGAUAACUUCGGGAAACCGGAGCUAAUACCGGAUAAUAUAUUGAACCGCAUGGUUCAAUAGUGAAAGACGGUUUUGCUGUCACUUAUAGAUGGAUCCGCGCCGCAUUAGCUAGUUGGUAAGGUAACGGCUUACCAAGGCAACGAUGCGUAGCCGACCUGAGAGGGUGAUCGGCUACACUGGAAGUGAGACACAGUCCAGACUCCUACGGGGGGAAGCAGUAGGGAAUCUUCCGGAAUGGGGGAAAGCCUGACGGAGCAACGCCGCGUGAGUGAUGAAGGUCUUCGGAUCGUAAAACUAUGUUAUUAGGAAAGAAGAAAUGUGUAAGUAACUAUGAACGUCUUGACGGUACCUAAUCAGAAAGCCACGGCUAACUACGUG
rnacentral:rRNA from 1 species